rnacentral:misc_RNA from 1 species
GUUGUACACGAGCUGGCAGAAAGCAGGUUGUCAAACUCGUUAAUUCAGGCCGUAGCACUGUUGAGGCAGAGGAACCGUCAGGGGGUGGUAUCAUCUCUCAAUGAUCUUCUCGCAUGUGACAAAGCCGUUCCAUCAAAACCUUUAUCAUGGGACGUGUCUGAAGAACUCGCCGAUUUGUACUCUGUAUACGCGAAGAGUGAGCCGACGCCUGAGAAGUUGUCUCGUUUGCAAUAUUUGCUGGGCAUAGAUGACUCUACUGCAGCUGCUAUUCGAGAGAUGGGAGAUAGAUUACAACCUAUUGGUGCGGAGGAGGAAAACUUUGUAUUCUGAUUUUUGUGCAAUAAUAAUAGGCAUCCUGGUUAGGAAGUGAAUUUUCGCCAUGAUUGGUCCAAUUUUUGUUUUCUCAACUUUCCUAGACUGAACAAAAAACGAG